ensembl:rRNA 5S_rRNA 5S ribosomal RNA
GUCUGCGGCCACACCACCCUGAACGCGCCCAGUCUCAUCUGAUCUCGGAAACUAAGCACGGUCAGGCCUGGUUAGUACUCGGAUGGGAGAACUCAGGCUCACAGAGC